rnacentral:rRNA from 1 species
GGCUCAGGACGAACGCUGGCGGCGUGCCUUACCCAUGCAAGUCGGACGAUCUCUUUUGGGAAACCGAGGGAGAUAGUGGCAGACGGCUGAGUAACACGUGAGGACCUAUCCAGUUGAGGGGGAUAGCCGCUCGAAAGAGCGGGUAAUACCGCGUAAGCAGGGGGCGCGUAGGGCGCUCUUUGGAAAGCUGUGGUGACACGGCGCGACUGGAGGGACUCGCGGCCCAUCAGGUAGUAGGUGAGGUUACGGCCCACCUAGCCGAUGACGGGUAGCUGGUCUGAGAGGAUGGCCAGCCAGACUGGGACUGAGAGACGGCCCAGACUCCUACGGGGGGCAGCAGGGGGGGAUCUUGGUCAAUGGGGGAAACCCUGAACCAGCGACGCCGCGUGAGGGAAGAAGGUCCUUGGAUCGUAAACCUCUUUUGCCAGGGAAGAAGGUAGGGGCCUGUGAGGGUUUCUGCUUGACGGUACCUGGCGAAUAAGCCCCGGCUAACUACGUGCCAGCAGCCGCGGUAAUACGUAGGGGGCGAGCGUUGUCCGGAUUUACUGGGCGUAAAGAGCGCGUAGGCGGUCUGAAGAGUCGGCUGUGAAAUCUCUGGGCCCAACCCAGAGGGGUCGGCCGAGACCUUUGGACUUGAGGGUGGUAGAGGAAGGUGGAAUUCCGGGUGUAGUGGUGAAAUGCGUAGAGAUCCGGAGGAACACCAGUGGCGAAGGCGGCCUUCUGGGCCAUACCUGACGCUGAGGCGCGAAAGCGUGGGGAGCGAACCGAAUUAGAUACUCGGGUAGUCCACGCCCUAAACGAUGGACGCUAGGUGUCGGGGGUAUCGACCCCCCCGGUGCCCGAGCGAACGCAGUAAGCGUCCCGCCUGGGGAGUACGGCCCGCAAGGCUAAAACU